UAGUCACUUUAUUAAAUAAUGUGAGAAACUCUAUAUUUUUUGCGAAUAGACCUGAAGAUGAAUUAUGAAAAGGUGUGACAAGUAUCAGUAAUGCAGGAAGACGCAGAGGUAGAGCAAGAAGAGUAGUGAAAAGAGAGAACUCCUAAAUAAGGAGCAAAUUAUUGGCAUGGGAAAAAUUCCGAUACAAUUUCCUGGUCUAAACACUCCUGUGUUUAGAGGAAAAGAAUUAAUUCAACAGCAAAAACUGCUUGUAAAUCUUGAAAGAAAGCAAAAACUUAUGGAAUUAUCACAAAGUCAGACCAGAUCAAUGCAAAUAAAAUUAUUGCCAUUGGAUAUGGUUGGACGAGUGUUACAAUGGAUGGCAGAAGCAUUGAAUCAGAUCUUAGUGGAAAAGAUUAAUAUUUAUGCUAUUACUGAAUUAUAAUGGUUAAAUCACACACAUACAAAAAUCAUAUACAUUUGAAAGUUUUGAAACCUGGAUUUUGGAAAACAAAAUGAUAACUUGUAUGACCGGUAAUUUAGCACGUAAGACUAGAAUCAGUUCAUUUAUAGUAACUGGAAAUGGAAAUGGAUUAGCUGGAUUUGCGUUAUCAAAAGCCAAAGCAUCCCUAAAGACGGUUAAAAAUAGGGCUGGUCAAAGACUAAUGUAUAUUCCUACAUAUAAGGAAUACACUGUAUUACAUGAUUUCUUUACACAGUUUGAGAAUAUAAAAAUAUUUGUAAAGAAAAUUCAUGAAGGAUAAUGGGCUUGUUUGUCAUCAUGCGAUAAAAGCGUGUUGCGAGAUAAUUGGCAUAAAGGAUAUGUAUGCCAAAGUAUAAGGAGGAAUGUAAAACCAUUCUUUACUGGUUUUGCAACAGAUAUGUAUAUAAAUGAUACAGAAGCAACAUUACAAGUACUAUAUUUACAGAUAACAUCUGUAUAAUAAAAAAACC